GAUGAACGCUGGCGGCGUGCCUAACACAUGCAAGUCGAGCGAUCUCUUCGGAGAGAGCGGCGGACGGGUGAGUAACGCGUGGGUAACCUGCCCUGUACACACGGAUAACAUACCGAAAGGUAUGCUAAUACGGGAUAAUAUAUAAAAGUCGCAUGGCUUUUAUAUCAAAGCUUUUGCGGUACAGGAUGGACCCGCGUAUGAUUAGCUAGUUGGUAAGGUAACGGCUUACCAAGGCGACGAACAGUAGCCGACCUGAGAGGGGGAUCGGCCACACUGGAACUGACACACGGUACAGACUCUUACGGGGGGCAACAGUGGGGAAUAUUGCACAAUGGGCGAAAGCCUGAUGCAGCAACGCCGCGUGAGCGAUGAAGGCCUUAGGGUCGUAAAGCUCUGUCCUCAAGGAAGAUAAUGACGGUACUUGAGGAGGAAGCCCCGGCUAACUACGUGCCAGCCGCCGCCGUAA
rnacentral:rRNA from 1 species